GCGGGCAUGGUCUAAAGGUUGGGCCGCAGCCUUCCAAGCUGCUGAAUGCCGGUUCGAGUCCGGCUGUCCGCU
rnacentral:tRNA from 1 species